rnacentral:lncRNA from 1 species
AUGCCGCCGGCUCCCCGCAGGAGCCCCCCGAGGUCGGGCCGGGACUCGGCGCCUCUGUCGCGCACACGAGGGCGUCCCCGGUCACCGGGGAGGCGCGCGCUCCUCCAGUCCGCGGGCGGGGCGCACCCCUGCCGCCCCCGGCGAGAGCCCGGCCCAGGCUCCGAGCCCCUGGGCGCCCGGGAGGCGUCUGGAGCGUCCCGCAGCGGAGCCCCUGGGCCGGCGACGGCCCUCAGACGCCACGGCCGGGCGGGGCCCCGUGGGGAGGCCGGGCAGGUCCCGGGGAGGGCGCCGGAGCCGGUCCUGCGGCAGCUCCCUUCCUGCCCCCUCCGCCCUCCCCGGCCCGGCCUCCCGCGGCCUCCGCUCCGCGCGCAGCCUCUCAGGCCUCUUCCCCUGGCUCCCCCACGCACCACUGUCUCUCCUCACACUCCGCCUCCGCUCUCACACCCGCCUCUCCUCUCCUCAAACCCCGCCUCUCCUCUCCCCACACCUCGCCUCUCCUCUCCCCGCACACCCUGCCCCUCCUCUCCUUACACACCCGCCUCUCCUCUCCCCACACCCCGCCUGUCCUCUCCCCACACCCCACCUCUCCUCUCCCCCGACCCCUGGCUCUCCUCUCCUCUCCCCACCCCUUCCUCUCCUCUUCUCUCCUCUCCUCUACACACCUGGCCUCUGCUCCCCUCCCCGCCGCCUCCUCCCCGGCCUCCCGCCUCCGUCUUCGCCUGGGGUAGUUGCCCCUUUGAAGCCCCCGCCGGCUUCGCGGCGUCCUCAGCGCUCCCACCACGCGCGGAGCUGCCCUCAGGCCCCUCGGUUUCAGCUCCUUUUCAUCCUUUCCUUCUCAACUUGAUUAAAACCAGCGGAGAAACCGACGUCAGGGGGCGGGGUCAUGUUCGAGGGGGCGGAGCCUACGCUCUGGGGCCGCCCCGCCCCGCCCCGCCCUUCCCCGGCCCGGGCCCCUAUGUGCUGGAGGGCGGGGGCGAGGUCAUAUGGCUGAGGGGGCGGAGCCUAUGCUCAGGAAGGAAGCGAAGCCCCGCCCCGCCCCGUCCGGUCCUCGGCCCCUUUGGGCAGGCGCGCGGGGACACGGCCCGGGCUGUUUCUCCGAGGCCGUGCGUGGCCAGCCGUCCUGAGCCCACAAAGCGACCAGAUUUAGCAGAGAUGUCUCAGAAAGCGUUGGCUGGAGAAGUCCUUCUGUCUGGGGCAGACGCGCCCCGGCUGCUCCCAGGCCUCCUCUGA